rnacentral:rRNA from 1 species
AGAGUUUGAUCCUGGCUCAGGACGAACGCUGGCGGCGCGCCUAACACAUGCAAGUCGAACGAGCGAGAGAGAGCUUGCUUUCUCAAGCGAGUGGCGAACGGGUGAGUAACGCGUGAGGAACCUGCCUCAAAGAGGGGGACAACUGUUGGAAACGACUGCUAAUACCGCAUAAGCCCACAGCUCGGCAUCGAGCAGAGGGAAAAGGAGCAAUCCGCUUUGAGAUGGCCUCGCGUCCGAUUAGCUAGUUGGUGAGGUAAUGGCCCACCAAGGCGACGAUCGGUAGCCGGACUGAGAGGUUGAACGGCCACAUUGGGACUGAGACACGGCCCAGACUCCUACGGGAGGCAGCAGUGGGGAAUAUUGCACAAUGGGGGAAACCCUGAUGCAGCGACGCCGCGUGGAGGAAGAAGGUCUUCGGAUUGUAAACUCCUGUUGUUGAGGAAGAUAAUGACGGUACUCAACAAGGAAGUGACGGCUAACUACGUGCCAGCAGCCGCGGUAAAACGUAGGUCACAAGCGUUGUCCGGAAUUACUGGGUGUAAAGGGAGCGCAGGCGGGAAGACAAGUUGGAAGUGAAAUCUAUGGGCUCAACCCAUAAACUGCUUUCAAAACUGUNUUUCUUGAGUAGUGCAGAGGUAGGCGGAAUUCCCGGUGUAGCGGUGGAAUGCGUAGAUAUCGGGAGGAACACCAGUGGCGAAGGCGGCCUACUGGGCACCAACUGACGCUGAGGCUCGAAAGUGUGGGUAGCAAACAGGAUUAGAUACCCUGGUAGUCCACACCGUAAACGAUGAUUACUAGGUGUUGGAGGAUUGACCCCUUCAGUGCCGCAGUUAACACAAUAAGUAAUCCACCUGGGGAGUACGACCGCAAGGUUGAAACUCAAAGGAAUUGACGGGGGCCCGCACAAGCAGUGGAGUAUGUGGUUUAAUUCGACGCAACGCGAAGAACCUUACCAAGUCUUGACAUCCUGCGACGGACAUAGAAAUAUGUCUUUCCUUCGGGACGCAGAGACAGGUGGUGCAUGGUUGUCGUCAGCUCGUGUCGUGAGAUGUUGGGUUAAGUCCCGCAACGAGCGCAACCCUUACUGUCAGUUACUACGCAAGAGGACUCUGGCAGGACUGCCGUUGACAAAACGGAGGAAGGUGGGGAUGACGUCAAAUCAUCAUGCCCUUUAUGACUUGGGCUACACACGUACUACAAUGGCGUUAAACAAAGAGAAGCAAGACCGCGAGGUGGAGCAAAACUCAGAAACAACGUCCCAGUUCGGACUGCAGGCUGCAACUCGCCUGCACGAAGUCGGAAUUGCUAGUAAUCGUGGAUCAGCAUGCCACGGUGAAUACGUUCCCGGGCCUGUACACACCGCCCGUCA